UCCUCUCGUCGUAGCUGAGAAGCUCGACAAGAUUUAAUCUGGACCGGUGGAUCUUAUGAACCGGGGAAAAAAAACAACAAAAGGAUGAUCGGCCUUGAAUCAGAUGAAAAACCACCACCUUCAUCACAACCGUGAAUCACGCAGCUGUUCUGGCAUAUGUCUAUGAAGUUAGAAAAUCUUUUCUCUAUAUUCCUUCUUAAUAUUAUUAUAAAAUUAUAUUCUCAAAAAAAUAAUUUGUGAAAAUAUUAAAAAAGAAAAAAAAAGAUUUGGAGUUGAUUUUCAGAGGCGUGUAGAUUAUUGGUGUGCCCAAGUUGCGGUUUGUGGUUUUGAAUUAUGAGUGUGAAUUACAGCCAAUCAAAGGAUAUGCCAUCUUUUAGUUUAUGGAGCUUUCUGAGUUUUUCUUGCGGGAAAAAUUUCACUUUCCAAGAUUUGUCAAUGUGU
rnacentral:misc_RNA from 1 species